rnacentral:tRNA from 1 species
GCCCCCAUUGAGCCCCGUUUCGCUCUUGUAAAGCGGGGGUCGUCGGUUCGAAUCCGACACGGGGCU